AGGGGAUGGCGGCGUCAAGUCGGGCGGGCACUGGAGGUGGUGGCGGAGAGGCAGGUGGCAGGGGCGAGCCCGGCGGAGCGGAGGUCCGGGCCUCUGGAGCCCCGCGUCGAGGCGAGACGGUCAUCCCGGAAGGUUGAGCCCAGGCAUACUCUGAUGCUGGGCUGAUGAUAAGAGGCCCGGAGCCUGAAAUUGGAUGCUGACCCUGCUGAACAUUGAUGAAACAGAGAUGGCACACCAAGAUGGCAUGACCUCUCUGAGAAAAUAGCCCCUCAGAGCUUGUGAGGGACUUUCGGACAGUUUUCAUCCAUCUGGAAGCUGUCACGAUGACCCUGACAAAAGGUUCCUUCACCUACUCCAGUGGGGAGGAGUAUCGUGGCGAGUGGAAGGAGGGCCGCAGACAUGGUUUUGGUCAACUGAUGUUUGCUGAUGGUGGCACCUACCUGGGCCAUUUUGAAAAUGGGCUCUUUAAUGGUUUUGGGGUACUGACCUUCUCAGACGGCUCGAGGUAUGAGGGCGAGUUUGCCCAGGGCAAGUUCAACGGUGUCGGAGUCUUCAUUCGACACGACAACAUGACCUUCGAAGGGGAAUUUAAAAACGGCCGCGUGGACGGUUUGGGCCUGCUGACUUUCCCCGACGGUUCUCAUGGAAUACCCCGAAACGAAGGUCUGUUUGAGAAUAACAAGCUCUUGCGGCGUGAAAAGUGCCCCGCAGUGGUUCAGCGGGCCCAGAGCGCCUCCAAGUCAGCCAGGAGCCUCGCGGCCUGAGGGCGCCACGCCCAGCUGACCAGGAACCAGGAGGGCCCUGCCACCCGCUCGAGGUGAACCAACAGACCGAUGUGAAAGGAGAUUUGAAUGACCUGGGAGCGGAAGCCCUGGGAGUGGCCCCAUCACCUGCCAGGCAGGGCUUCGAUCUCAGGCGGGAGGCCCCUGCAGCUGCAGUUACCUGCUCUGUCCUUCCCCUCUCUUGCUCGUUGGGUCUCUCCAUCCCUAACACUCUGGUCCCCCAGCACAGACCAGCUGCUGCCUUCCUCCCACUUCCUUUUCUGCCGAGUGAUGCAGAAUCUCUCCCUUCUGCUUCUUAUUGGGGCAGAUGAUCCCAGCCCCAGAUCAGGGCCAGGGCUUUGUGCCGCCCUGGAAAGAAAGAAGGGAAACGACAGGGGCAGCUUAGACAUACAUCACUGUGGUCCUGUGAAAGUCAAGGCCACAGCUUUUCUGUCUCUUACUCCCUGGUUCGCUUCUGGUGGCCGUGGUGGCCCCAGGCUUCUCCCUUGUCUGACCAGACCAGUACUCGUGUCCGCCUCCUGCUCCUGUGGGUUCCGUGAAGUGCUCCUUCCCUCACCCUUGACUUUACCCGCUGUCUUCCUUACCUGAGUUCCAGCAGAUCAUUUGGGCCCCUUUUUCCUUCCUUAGACCUGGGACAGGAUCCCUCUAGUCAAAAAGAAACGGAUGUAAACAGUCACUGUAUGAGUUUGUCACUUACUUCGGGGCAAAGAGCAGACAUCUCUGGACAGCGUCAGGCCCUAUCACAGAGUGACCUGAAUCCUUAGGAGUGGCUUGGGCCGACAUGGAUCCUUCCCACUGGACCAGUAGGUCAGGCCCACCUCAACCCCUUGGCGUUCAGGUAGAAUUGGACCCAUGCUGGACGGCAGUGAACUAAAGAGCGUUGGGUUCACUGGAACUCUCCCACCGUGAGCCUUGGCCAUCGGGCCUCAGGAUCAGAUCUUGACCAAUAGGAUCCCUGCACAGUUCAUCACAGGGGCCUCCCAUGACCCUGUGACCCAAACACACCCCCACCCCCACCCCCAGCCCCUGAUCCUCACGCUCAGUGUCCCCUCCACAUAGAUUGUGGUGGAAAUUAUAGCUGUGUGCCUCUGUUUAUUCUCUGACUUGUACUGUAGAAACAAGUGUUUAUGAGGAAUAAACAAAU
rnacentral:lncRNA from 1 species